rnacentral:tRNA from 1 species
UGUAGCUCAGUGGUAGAGCACAUGCUUUUUAGGUAUAAAAGCCCUGGGUUCAGUACCCAGCA